rnacentral:tRNA from 1 species
GCGGGAAUAGCUCAGUGGUAGAGCACAACCUUGCCAAGGUUGGGGUCGCGGGUUCAAAUCCCGUUUCCCGCU